GAUGAACGCUGGCGGCGUGCCUAAUACAUGCAAGUCGAGCGAACAGACGAGGAGCUUGCUCCUCUGACGUUAGCGGCGGACGGGUGAGUAACACGUGGAUAACCUACCUAUAAGACUGGGAUAACUUCGGGAAACCGGAGCUAAUACCGGAUAAUAUAUUGAACCGCAUGGUUCAAUAGUGAAAGACGGUUUUGCUGUCACUUAUAGAUGGAUCCGCGCCGCAUUAGCUAGUUGGUAAGGUAACGGCUUACCAAGGCGACGAUGCGUAGCCGACCUGAGAGGGUGAUCGGCCACACUGGAACUGAGACACGGUCCAGACUCCUACGGGAGGCAGCAGUGGGGAAUCUUCCGCAAUGGGCGAAAGCCUGACGGAGCAACGCCGCGUGAGUGAUGAAGGUCUUCGGAUCGUAAAACUCUGUUAUUAGGGAAGAACAAAUGUGUAAGUAACUAUGCACGUCUUGACGGUACCUAAUCAGAAAGCGACGGCUAACUACGUG
rnacentral:rRNA from 1 species